rnacentral:rRNA from 1 species
GAUGAACGCUGGCGGCGUGCUUAACACAUGCAAGUCGAACGAGAAAUGUAGACGGAAACCUUCGGGCGGAAGCCUUCAUUUCGAGUGGCGGACGGGUGAGUAACGCGUGGGUAACCUGCCUCAUACAGGGGGAUAACAGUUGGAAACGACUGUUAAUACCGCAUAAGACCACAGCAUCGCAUGAUGCGGGGGUAAAAACUCCGGUGGUAUGAGAUGGACCCGCGUUCGAUUAGCCAGUUGGCGGGGUAACGGCCCACCAAAGCGACGAUCGAUAGCCGAUCUGAGAGGAAGACCGGCCACAUUGGGACUGAGACACGGCCCAAACUCCUACGGGAGGCAGCAGUGGGGAAUAUUGCACAAUGGGGGAAACCCUGAUGCAGCGACGCCGCGUGAGUGAAGAAGUACUUCGGUAUGUAAAGCUCUAUCAGCAGGGAAGAAAAUGACGGUACCUGAGGAAGAAGCCCCGGCUAACUACGUG